CAGGAGCGGACUGGAAGGAGAGGCUUCUCCGGGAGAGUAGCCUGCGCGGGCACUGCUCGGGACCCGGGAUGAUCCCGGAACAGACUCGGGGGUCACUGUUUGGUGCAGGGAAGGCGGGCGCCCCCUCUCGCUCCGCCCGCGAACCGCAGCUCCGCGCAGGUGUUUUGUCCCCGCUGAGUUGCCGCACCUCCGCUCCCUGCUCGAGUGAGUAAACCCAAAAGGGCUAGGCGAGAGAGAGCCGACGCUCAGCGUUCACAGCCCCGAACCUUUCGCGGGUGAGUCAUGGCGCUGGGUGGUCAGUUCAACACGCUUCUAGAACUUUCAGACCAAUUUCCCCGACUACCUUCUAGGUCUUCCUGACCCAGAUCCAGGCCCAUUUCGCUUUACUGCCUCUUCAGCGGUUGAAGCAAAGAGAGCGAAAGCGGGGUUUCCUGACCCGCCAGGGCGCCCAGACUGGGGCGAAGGGUUCCCCGGGUUCUGAGGCGCUGCGCGGGGCCUCAGUGUCCAGCUGGGGCUCCCAAGGCCGGAGACUCGGCAAGGCGGACAAGCUUCAGUGAGCGAGAGGGACGCGUUCUCUCUCCGCGGCUAAAAGCUUCAGAGCUCAGUGUCGGAUCAGGCGGGCCAGGAACGCCGAUGGACUGCCCUCUUCCGCUACCCACAGAUUUCACAGCCGUUUCCAGACACAGGAAUGCUUUUGAUGCAGCAACAUAUCCUCCACAGCCCUGGAAGGGUCUUGGUGCUCUGACCAGGUGUCAGGCCUGAGCCUCUGAGGUGGGAGAGCCGAGUUCAGGACAUUGAUCCACCAGAGACCUCCCGGCCCCAUGUAAUAUCAAAUGGCGAAAGCUCUCCCAGAGAUCUCCAUCUCAAUGCUAAGACCCUGCUCCACUCAAUGUCCAGCAAGCUACAGUGCGGGACACCCUGUGCCAAACAACUAGCAAGACAGGAACACAACCCCACCUAUUAGCAGAGAGGCUGCCUUAAAUCAUAAUAAGUUCACACACCCCCCGAGAAAACACCACUGGAUGUGGUCCU